UCCAGACUCCUACGGGAGGCAGCAGUGAGGAAUAUUGGUCAAUGGGCGCGAGCCUGAACCAGCCAAGUCGCGUGAGGGAAGACGGUCCUAUGGAUUGUAAACCUCUUUUGUCGGGGAGCAAAAGACGCCACGCGUGGCGUUCCGAGAGUACCCGAAGAAAAAGCAUCGGCUAACUCCGUGCCAGCAGCCGCGGUAAUACGGAGGAUGCGAGCGUUAUCCGGAUUUAUUGGGUUUAAAGGGUGCGUAGGCGGAAUAUCAAGUCAGCGGUAAAAAUUCGGGGCUCAACCCCGUCGUGCCGUUGAAACUGGUCUUCUUGAGUGAGCGAGAAGUAUGCGGAAUGCGUGGUGUAGCGGUGAAAUGCAUAGAUAUCACGCAGAACUCCGAUUGCGAAGGCAGCAUACCGGCGCUCAACUGACGCUGAGGCACGAAAGCGUGGGGAUCGAACAGGAUUAGAUACCCGUGUA
rnacentral:rRNA from 1 species